UGAAAGUAGCGGAAGGAUAAGCAUUGCGAGAAGAUGGUGGUGGGGGCGGCAUGCCUUACUGCGAAGUUAUUUCGUUUCAUGUGUCGUGUUUGCCAGUUAAUUUCAACGUUAACUGCUCUCCGCUGUUUGAGGCACAGAAUAUGUUACUAUGCGCUUGAUCUGUGUAUGCUCAGGGGCUAUGCUGCUAGGGGUCCAUCGCCCGAGGAAAGCCUUCCGAGAUCCUCGGCAACGGCCCUGGCCCGCUGGAUGGCCCACUCCUGGUCAUCGGGUGCCUCACUGAGGAGGGCGGUGUUUACUGUUUACUUUUUGUCACUUCGUCGCUCCGCAGAAGUGUUCCCUGCCUACCCCAAUCCAUUAUCGCUGAAGCUACAAAGUCAUGCCACUUUCAGCCGAAUCUGGAAACAGGCAUAUCGGCGCGACAAAGCCCCUUCCCGCCCCCAGCGAGCUUUCCUCCUCGCCUCGAUCACCAAGUGGCGACCAGUCGCCAUGCUUACACGUGUUCAUACACACUCACUGGCGAGAAAGUUCUCCGUGGUGGCGGUCAGCGUCAAGGCCCUCCUUGAUCCAUCAGCAUUGCAGUUUUCGA